GAACCUACGGGGGGCAGCAGUAGGGAAUUUUCGUCAAUGGGCGCAAGCCUGAACGAGCAAUGCCGCGUGAACGAGGAAGGUCUUCGGAUCGUAAAGUUCUGUUGAAGGGGAAAAAGAGCGGAGAGAGGAAAUGCUUUCUGAUUGAUAUUACCCUUCGAGGAGGUCACGGCUAACUACGUGCCAGCAGCCGCGGCAAUACGUAGGUGGCAAGCGUUGUCCGGAUUUACUGGGUGUAAAGGGCGUGCAGCCGGGACUGCAAGUCAGAUGUGAAAUCCGCGGGCUUAACCCGCGAACUGCAUUUGAAA
rnacentral:rRNA from 1 species